rnacentral:rRNA from 1 species
CCUACGGGAGGCUGCAGUGGGGGAUAUUGCACAAUGGGGGAAACCCUGAUGCAGCGACGCCGCGUGGGCGAAGAAGUAUUUCGGUAUGUAAAGCCCUAUCAGCAGGGAAGAAGAAAUGACGGUACCUGAGUAAGAAGCACCGGCUAACUCCGUGCCAGCAGCCGCGGUAAUACGGAGGAUGCGAGCGUUAUCCGGAUUUAUUGGGUUUAAAGGGUGCGUAGGCGGGCUGUUAAGUCAGCGGUAAAAGCCCGGGGCUCAACCCCGGCGAGCCGUUGAAACUGGCUGUCUUGAGAUGUCGAGGGGUAUGCGGAAUGCGCAGUGUAGCGGUGAAAUGCUUAGAUAUUGCGCAGAACUCCGAUUGCGAAGGCAGCAUACCGGCGGCGAUCUGACGCUGAGGCACGAAAGCGUGGGUAUCGAACAGGAUUAGAUACCCCUGUAGUC